GAUGAACGCUAGCGGCAGGCUUAAUACAUGCAAGUCGAGGGACAGCACAGGUAGCAAUACUGGGUGGUAACCGGCAAACGGGUGCGGAACACGUACACAACCUUCCUUUAAGUGGGGGAUAGCCCAGAGAAAUUUGGAUUAAUACCCCGUAAUAUAGUUGAAUGGCAUCAUUUGAUUAUUAUAGCUACGGCGCUUAAUGAUGGGUGUGCGGCUGAUUAGAUAGUUGGCGGGGUAACGGCCCACCAAGUCUACGAUCAGUAGCUGAUGUGAGAGCAUGCUCAGCCACACGGGCACUGAGACACGGGCCCGACUCCUACAGGAGGCAGCAGUAAGGAAUGUUGGUCAAUGGACGCAAGUCUGAACCAGCCAUGCCGCGUGAAGGAUUAAGGUCCUCUGGAUUGUAAACUUCAUUUAUUUGAGACGAAAAAGGGCCUUUCUAGGUCAACUGACGGUACCAGAUGAAUAAGCACCGGCUAACUCCGUGCCAGCCGCCGCGGUAAUAC
rnacentral:rRNA from 1 species